rnacentral:tRNA from 1 species
GGGGAUGUAGCUCAGUGGUAGAGCGCUCGCUUUGCAUGCGAGAGGCUCCGGAUUCGAUCCCCGGCAUCUCCA